rnacentral:rRNA from 1 species
UACGAAGGGGGGCUAGCGUUCGGCUCGGAAUUGACUAGGGCGUAAAGCGCAGCGUUAGGCGGAUUUGUAAAGUCCAGGGGGUGAAAACUCCCGGGGGCUCAACCUACGGAACUAGCCUUUGAUACUGCAAAGUCUCGGAGUCCGGGAAGAGGUGGAGUAGGAAUUCCUAGUGUAGAAGGUGAAAUUCGUAGAUAUUAGGAAGCAA